UGCGAGGCACCACUGUAUCUCAUUGCUCAGGAUUAAACUCCUGGUCUUGGAAGACUCUGUAGUCAUACAUGUAGAUUUCCAUAGGUUGUUGGCCAUUCUUGAUUUCUUUGCUUGAGCCCUCAACUUUCCUACUCAGCUCUACAUACCAUCGUCACCUUAUUGGACACACCUGGUAUUGAACUUGAGCAUGUGAUUUUUCCUUAGCCUCCUCUCCUGAGCAUGUUGAUGUUUGGAUGGCACUCCAGCUUGGCUUAUCGCCCACAGGGAUUGUAUUCAGCAGCUCUUCUCACACCUACAAAUCUGAACUGAAGGGACAAGACUGUAGGAAGGGCAGAACACUACGUUGAUCAAAAUUGGUGCACCUCACAAACUUCCCGAAAGUUCUCAUGGCACAUCUUGAAACUUGAAGUAUCUACCCUUCCAGCGAUGUUUCUGCAAAUCUUCCCUCCCAAUCUGUACAAAGUGGACCUUGUCCUUUUUUCCUGCAAGUCUUAAUGGAUCUCCUUUAACUGGUACAGUUUUUUAAAACUACAGUGGGCCUGCUUAAGUUUAACAGCACCUGGUGUCUCAUGUGGACUGAAUGGAAACUUGGAGAAGAAUGGUGGAAAUACCUAGCUGCGGCCCUACCUCCUUACUGUGCUUCUUAUUUGGCCUUCAUCCCUCUUUGAAAAGAAAGAAUUGCUGGUUUGGCUGAUGCAAGAGGUAAGUUUGUCGUAAUUCCAUGAUUUGUUUCUGGGUCAGCGAACCAAUGCUGGGGGGUGCUUGCAGAGUUCACCAAAGCAGGGGGAAGAGGAAAGAAAUGUUGUUGAGGACCACUGAAAGCCAAGGAUGGCAAAUUUGGGGUUUGUUCCAACAUUUGCAUCAGCACAGCUUCAGGUUUUGACUAGUCUCGUAGGCAGAAAGCCAUGAAGCAAGUGCUAAGAGGAAUUCUUCUUUGCAACCCACAGUUGAUCUGUAUUGGCUGUGUUACUUAAAUGAAGGGACAUAUAAAGUAACACAGCAUGUGGGAAUUGAAUGCCUGGCUUGACCGUAUUGCUUCACUAAUUCCCUGAAGUUUCAUUCAAGUUUUCUGUAAUCUCACGCAGGCAUUUGGAAGGUAAAGAUCUUUGGAAGAGAUGUUCUGUCAUAAAAAAAGAAUUCCUCUUGAAAUGGUCUCCAGCAGGCAGAAGGAAUAGAUAGAGUGAUUGUUACUGGAUUCAGCAACUGCUCUUGCCUAUAGAUACUAAAGAGAGUGCACCUGUCCUAAUAAAUAGCUACAAAUCGGCAACUGGCUCUCAGAUCAGAAUGACAGCACAACUUGAUCGACGUUGCUGCAGCUGGGGAACUGGACACACAACAAGGUACAGCUGCAGUUCUGCAGUACAGCUGAAAAGUAUGUUCAUGAAAAGGAUCCGUUGGCAGUGUGCCCCUAACAGAAAAUCCGUAAUGAAAUCCAAUCAGAAUCUGCAGGCCAGGCCAGUGAGUGCCAGUUUAAAGGUCUCUUAACCCUUGAAGCUUGGAGAAAAAAAUAACUUGGAAGAAGAUGAGGCUGCAUUCUAUCAGAUGUUUUGACGAUACACAAUAUUUGAAUAAAUGUUUCUGGUCUACCACUUUGAAAUACUGGCUAAUGACAGUCUUAGCAAUAUUGAUCUGUAGGUUCUUUUUAAAACAAAUAUUGAAUAAACUGAUCUGUAGUUCUAAAUUAUUCAAUAAACAAAUUGCUGAAAA